CAUUUUGCACUGCAGACGCCGUAGUUCUUCUGCCUUAGCGUCUCAGUCUGAUUGCAUUUCCAUGAAGAAAUGAUCAUAUAUGUUCUUCCUUUAGCUGUAUCCCACUGCUGCAGUUGAUGGACUCGCCCGGAGGUCUCCAUACAAACAAGCUGCUGCUGGAAGAGAGUAGGUGAGUUGUGUUUAGUCCCUUUGCUAAAGAAAUUAGGCAAAGUUAAAAAGAUGUUUAAUUUUACGUUGGAAUAUCCCUUUAAGUGUGUUCUUCUGUUUCCAGGCUGUGAAGGCUAGUGCAUCCUACGUGGACCCACUAAACUUAUGAUCCCAAACACACCAAAACAGUUAGAAAAGCAGACCGCCAAGUAAUACAUUGUUAAAUUAUACUAAUUUGUUUCAACUCCCUAUCAAGCUGUAUAAAUAGAAGACAGACUCAUCAAAACUUUAAACUAUCAGGUGGUGAUGUUGUUUGAGUUACAUGAGGGUAGCUAUGCUAGCUGAUUAACUAAGUAUCCAGCAGAGCAGUAGCUAAGCUACAAUAAGAAGAACUUCAUUGAUGCAGGAAAGGAGGUUCUAGACCUGCACUGUAUGACAUUCUGUAUUUAUUUAUUUAUUUUCUGCUGGGCCACAUGGCUUUUGCAGGCUACUGCGUGCAUAAUGGAUCCUGUUCACUCUCCAUUAAUACAGAAGGACACCAUGACAAGUAGUACCAAGAGUUGUGUCUGAAGAUAUCAAUAAAUAAAUCGCGUGUGUGUGUGUGUGUGUGUGUGUGUGCGUGCGUGCGUACGUGCGUGUGUGUGUGUGUGUGUGUGUUUCUACAUGUGCAUAAUAAAGCUUGAAAAUAACUCUCUGUCAUUCUUGGGCAAAACAGUCUACAUGUUAUGAAGAGAAAGCAGAGAUCAUCUUCAGCCCCAUAAAAGAG